rnacentral:rRNA from 1 species
AUUGAACGCUGGCGGCAGGCCUAACACAUGCAAGUCGAACGAGUGGCGGACGGGUGAGUAAUGUCUGGGAAACUGCCUGCUGGAGGGGGAUAACUACUGGAAACGGUAGCUAAUACCGCAUACCAUCGGAUGUGCCCAGAUGGGAUUAGCUAGUAGGUGGGGUAACGGCUCACCUAGGCGACGAUCCCUAGCUGGUCUGAGAGGAUGACCAGCAAAACUGGAACUGAGACACGGGCCAGAGUCCUACGGGAGGCAGGAGGGGGGAAGAUGGCACAAGGGGCGCAAGCCUGAUGCAGCCAUGCCGCGUGUAUGAAGAAGGCCUUCGGGUUGUAAAGUACUUUCAGCGGGGAGGCGUUACCCGCAGAAGAAGCACCGGCUAACUCCGUGCCAGCCGCCGCGGUAAUUC